CCAACUUUCCUAACUCGGGCUCUGAGUCUCUACCUGCACAUAGUAAAGCGCUGCUUCCCAGACAGACAGCCUCAUCGUGGACAUAAAAUUGAUUUUUCGAAAAAAAGAGCCAGGUUCAGUCCAAAGAGGGAAAGGCGAAAAAGGGGAAGGAGAGGAGAGAGUGCACGGUCAGGAAGAACCAGGUAAGAAAACAAACAGAGAAUAGUGGCACGCAAACAGCAGCUGUUAGGAUGACAAAGAAAAACAUCCAUUCACAAUAUAAUUUUACAUAUAUGUCAUGGAGGUUAUGUGUUCCCCCCACAUUA